AGGCCCAAACAAAGACACUCUCAAAACUCAGAAAAAUUCCAAGGAUUUCAAGGCUACCUCCCAGGAACCAGGGGCAAAGUCCAGCCAGAAAUUCUCACCAAACAGGUAUACACAAACAGAACAAGAAAGGACAAGCUAAAGGUCACGUGAGAAGCUCAAACAGUGAGUACUCCAUGCAGUCUGGGGCAGGGUAAUGGCUGAGGACUGGGGUGUUCAGAAGACACCACGUGGAGAGGAUGAAGAUGAAGUAGCUUGUGUACUGAAGAAGGAACAGGGACAUAAAGACAGACUUCGAGUAGCUCCCAACCUCCAGUGCACAGAAGAAAGGCCGUGUGAGGACCAGUGAGAAGGCAGAUGUCUAUAAGCCAGGAAGAGAGACCUCACCACAAACUGAAUUUGUUAGCACCUUGAUUAUGGACUUCUAGUCUCCAGAACUCUGAGAAAAUAAAUGUCUGUCGUUUAAACCA